UACGGGGGGAGCAAGCGUUGUUCGGAUUUACUGGGCGUAAAGGGCGCGUAGGCGGCCAGCACAAGUCAGUUGUGAAAUCUCCGGGCUUAACUCGGAAAGGUCAACUGAUACUGUGCGGCUAGAGUGCAGAAGGGGCAACUGGAAUUCUCGGUGUAGCGGUGAAAUGCGCAGAUAUCAGGAGGAACACCGGUGGCGAAGGCGCCACUCUGGGCCGGUACUGACGCUGAGGAGCGAAAGCGUGGGUAGCAAACAGG
rnacentral:rRNA from 1 species